UACGUAGGCAGCGAGCGUUGUUCGGAGUUACUGGGCUUAAAGCGUGUGUAGGCGGAUUCCUAAGUACCUUGUGAAAUCCCACGGCUCAACCGUGGAACUGCUCGGUAUACUGGGUAUCUUGAGCCACUUAGGGGCGACCGGAACAAAUGGUGGAGCGGUGAAAUGCGCAGAUAUCAUUUGGAACGCCAAUGGUGAAAACAGGUCGCUGGGAGUGUGCUGACGCUGAGACACGAAAGCCAGGGGAGCAAACGGG
rnacentral:rRNA from 1 species